GACGUAGGGCGCGAGCGUUGUCCGGAUUUAUUGGGCGUAAAGAGCUCGUAGGCGGUCUGUUGCGUCGGCUGUGAAAACCCGAGGCUCAACCUCGGGCCUGCAGCCGAUACGGGCAGACUAGAGUUCGGCAGGGGAGACUGGAAUUCCUGGUGUAGCGGUGAAAUGCGCAGAUAUCAGGAGGAACACCGGUGGCGAAGGCGGG
rnacentral:rRNA from 1 species